rnacentral:rRNA from 1 species
UACAUGUGGGGCAAGCGUUGUUCGGAAUCACUGGGCAUAAAGGGUGCGUAGGCGGCUUGUUAAGUCAGGGGUGAAAUCCCACGGCCCAACCGUGGAACUGCCUUUGAAACUGGCGAGCUUGAGUGCGUGAGGGGUAACCGGAACGAGUCGUGUAGCGGUGAAAUGCGUAGAUAUGGCUCGGAAGGCCAAAGGCGAAGGCAGGUUACUGGUACGCAACUGACGCUGAGGCACGAAAGCGUGGGGAGCAAACAGG